GAAGAAGGAAAUAAAUAUCAAAGACUGGAUUCAGCAUGAGACUCAUCCAGUAUCCAGACCUGAAUACUUCCUUUUUCCAGUGUUAUACAGAUAAAUCUUUUGUUAGGAAAACUGCAUAGUGUUUGCAAUAUAAGUAUUAUAUAUUUUUCCAAUAUACAUGACAAAAAAAAUGAUGUAAUGUGAGUACUCCAAAAGAUGUUAAAUUUAUGGGCUUAAACUGAACAGUUGGCCACUUAUGUAACUCAUGUCAUCAAUCUCUGAUACCUAAUCAACUCACAAAGUGAAUAUGACCCAGGUGAGAGUUUAAGCAUUGAUAGAUGACAAAAGGAGAAACCUCAAAAGUCGCGAACUUUAUUCACUUUCUUUUUUUCACGGGGUGAGAGGGUUCAGUAGCUCCUAUCCUUCACUGAAAAUUGUAUUAUUGGGACCAGAACAGAACAAAUACUGAGAAAAGUAAAAUCUAUUGAGCAUGAUGUAUCUUAGGCAUAUAAGAGAAUCAUCCAGGACUAUAAAAAACUUGUGUAAUUUCUGCAACAGUUAAAAUAACCACUUGGGUUGUAGGCUUGUAGCCACUUGGUAUUUUCUACGCUACUCAUUCUUCCACUCUCAAGCUUUCACAGAGUUGGUGUCUUCUAUUUCUCUAUUGCCUGAAAAGUUCAUCACUUCUUCUCUAUUGAUUAUUCUGGUAUCGUUUUCUUUUGUCUGUUUCAGAGACUCGUUUCUUCCAUUGCAGGCAAUUGAGCUAAAGAUGGAAAUGGUUCAACACUAUAGCUGAAGAAGCUAAGAGGGUGCAGGUUGAAUUGAUCAAGAAGGGAGUGUUCAGGAGUUGAAGUAGGAGACUUGGUAGAAGUCGAUUCAAGUCCUGUCCCUGGUUGCCUAAGACUGAGUCCAUGCUUAAUGUUUAUGCCAGUUCAAAUUACAAGUGUUACUGAGUCAGUGAAGGUUGAAGGUUGUCCUUGCUUAGUUCUGUAGCCUCAUUUUGAAGCAUGAACCAAGAAUAAUUUUCUAAACAUAAUCUGCAAAUCUCAAAUGAAAACUUUGCAGGUUUGAGCAU